GAUGAACGCUAGCUACAGGCCUAACACAUGCAAGUCGAGGGACAGGCGCACGGGUGAGUAACACGUAGCCAACCUGCACUUUACCCGGGGAUAGCCUUUCGACAGAAAGAAUAAUACCCGAUAUAAAGGAUGGGGAUGCGUUUCAUUAGGUUGUUGGUGAGGUAACGGCUGACCAAGCCUUCGAUGGAUAGGUGUACUGAGAGGAAGGUCCCCCACAUUGGAACUGAGUCACAGUCCAAACUCCUACGGGAGGCAGCAGUGAGGAAUAUUGGUCAAUGGGCGCUAGCCUGAACCAGCCAAGUAGCGUGAAGGAUGAAGGCUUAUGGGUCGUAAACUUCUUUUAUAUAAGAAUAUGUAUUAUAUGAAUAAGGAUCGGCUAACUCCAUGCCAGCAGCCGCGGUAAUUC
rnacentral:rRNA from 1 species